AAUUUUCGUAAGGAGUUAUGUAGGGCAGAAAUAUUCAGUUAAAACCGUAUUAUUUGAUAAAGAUGAAAUCAGGAAAUUUAAAUUGCGAAAUAUAUAUUUAUUUCUAUUUGAUGUUUACUUUUCAAAGUGAUUGGUUCGCAAUAAACUUUCUUUUCCUACAAUUAUAAACACAACUUCGCGUGAUAAAAUCAUUAAGAUGUCUCUUGUUUAGUUACAAAAUUUCCAGCGGUAAGAAAUUAAGUCCUAAAAAGUUACUAUGUUUUCCUUCAUCGUAAAUGGAAUAAUGCUUCAUUAGAUAUGAUUCAAGUUGUCAUUGGGGGAGAGCCAAUUAAACUAUUGGUAAGAUUACAAAGAUAACGGAUGGCUGUUGUGUUGCAAAGUUGGAGAAAGCAUCUGUUAUGGCUACUGCUGUUUGUGAUCCAAAAAAAUCUUCAGCGUCUUCUUUUGUUCCGCUUACACAUCUGCAGCAUUAAGUCUUUCUGAUAUUCCUUGGAAUGGUCCAUUUGGAGCAGUUCGUGUAGGACUCAUAAACGAUUAAAUUAUAAUUAAUCCUACGAGGCAAGAUUUAGCUAAAAGCUCUCUAAUUCUUAUAAUUACUGCAACUCAAGAAAAUAAUGUUGAUGAGGAGAGGAAUGGCUGCUGAUGCUGUGAUACAAGAAACAUUAGAAAAGAUUCUCUUUUUGACGUAUCAACACUUUACUGGUAGCCUAAAAAAUGUUGCUCUAUUAUUUUAUUUCUCCAAUGUUGGCAGGUAUGGAAGUGCCAAAUCUUGGUUCUUUUAUUCUGCAGAAAACUAUACUGACUGUGAUUCAAGUAUCAAGCCAUAAAUUCUGUUUAUAAAAAUACAUUUAGGAAUCUUUGUUUUAGAAACAGGCAUAAGUUUCCACCUUAUGCUACAAUUGAAAUUGGACGUGUAGGCGAAUUUGGUAGAAGAGAAUUUGGUCAUGGUGCUUUAGCGGAAAAAAGUCUCAAACCAGUAGGCUUUUCUUUUACCAUAAGGUUAACUUCUGAAGUCUUAGCAUCUAAUGAAUCGUAUUCGAUGACAACUGUCUGCGGUGGAUCAUUAACACUGAUGGACGCUUUAGUACCCAUAUCAGUUCAUGUUGCUGGUGUUGCUAUAGUCUUGAUAACUGCAUACAACACUGAAGAUAACAGAAGCAUAGAAAAAUAUGCUAUAUUGGCUGAUAUAUUGUUGAUUUUUAUGCAUGCCACCUUCAAUAUUUAUUGAAAUAUGAAAAACAAUCUUCGACACACUAACGACAGGGGUAAAAAUUUUAGUCAUUUAUCUGUGACUAAAAGAUAUUAUAGUCUGGUCUAUUUAUAUAUAUUUUCUCUGGUCCAUUUGCAUAUCUUUACAAGGUGCGUAGGGUCUUUAAAAAAUGCUUAAAGGUGCUUAUUUUUUAUUAAAAUUUUUUAAAAGCCUUUAAAGGUGCUUUUUUUAUUCAUGCGUAAAAAGUGCUUAGUUUUCUAUCUUUUAAGAUAUUUUUUCUUUGCUGUGUCGAUUGUUGUUCUUAAUUUUAAAAAAUGCUUGAUUUUCACAAUUUUCUCUGCAAUAUUUAUCGGAAGCUAGUUAUUAUAUCCUGAUUAUACAAACAUUUUGAAUUUUAUGCUUAUAAGUGAAGAACUUUAAAUGAAAAAAAUAAUUUUCAUUACUGCACAAAUCCUAAUUAAGAUUUUUUUUUUGGACACCGACUGAAAGUAUUUUAUGAGUGCUUAAAAAAGUACUUAAAAGGUGUUAAUUUUUUGUUGAAAAGUCGAGCUACGUACCUGUAUUAGAUUUUGGUUAAAAAUGAUCUUAAAUGAAAACACAAUUAAUGUGAAAUACAUACAGUUUUAUUUGAAUUUGUUAUUUUGUGACAACAACACAGAGAAAAAUACAGAGCAACACAUCGUUUGCUGGUCUGGGAACGCCUGAUAAUUAUUUUAUCGUGAUGUGAGUCCAAUUCUUAAGAUUCCAAGUUAACAGACUACUGUUAAUUUCAAAACAUGGUAAUUGGUCUAUACUAUAUUUUUGUAAUAAACUGUAUCUUGUUUGGAGAGUUUAAAAUUUUUUAAGAUGGUGAAGUGUGUAAAAAAAAACAGUUUUGACACGUGUAAAUAUAUUUAAAAUUGAAUUUUUUGAGUGUUUAGUUCGGUAUCCACUUGCCAUUAAAAAUUUGUACGACUUUCACUCUGAGAGGCAACUAAGUUAAAACACAUUCAGAUUAAACAAAUAAUUGUCUUUAAAAAAAUUCACUUUUGCUCUAAUAAUCUACUUUUUACGAACUAAGUGUGCAUCUUAAUAGCUUAAAGGGAUGACUUCAAAUAUGUGAAUUAAGUUCAAACGAUAUUUUAAGUUGUGAAAUAAGACACAAAAAUGUACAAAAAAAGAAAUUAAGUUCAAGGUGUUAAACUACGGCAUAAACUUUUAGAACCAUGUUUUCCACAUUGUUGCUACCCACCCUAUUUUGAUGGUCAUACGUCCAAAUACUUUGAACUAAAAGUAUGUUUGUGAGAAACUAUAUUGUGUUUGAUGUCAUAAUUUUAAAUAUUCUCUGUAUUAAGAUAUUUGCAUAAUUGGGGUCGCUCCUUUAAACUCUUAAGAUAUUUCAAACACACAAGAAUAUUUUAGAGGGUUUUUCGUCAGUUACGUAACGUUAUUUUAAGUAAAAAUUUCAGGAUGUAAUUUUUUUUUUAUAAUUAUUUCUUUGUGCUACUUUUUUUACAAGGUUUAAAUUAUCUUUCAGAAUGUUUAAAUAAAUCUAUAAGCCUUUUCUUUUUCUGAUAUAUUAUUUACACAAAGACGGAAAGGGUUUCGAUUAAAGAAUGGUGUAGAUCUACUGCAUUUAAAUUUCUUUACAAAAUUAUUGCAUAUCAGUAUUUUUGUAGUAUGACAUGCCUUUAAAAAUAUAUUUUGGCUGUUAUCUUUGAUAAAAACUAAAAACCAUUUUUUGCUGAUUGCAGAGAUAAGUAGAGGACAAACUCAUUGUUUAGUGAAACAAGUUAUCUUUGGAGAGGGCAAAACAACUUAAUU